rnacentral:rRNA from 1 species
GACGAACGCUGGCGGCGUGCUUAACACAUGCAAGUCGAGCGGAAAGGCCCUUCGGGGUACUCGAGCGGCGAACGGGUGAGUAACACGUGAGUAACCUGCCCUAGGCUUUGGGAUAACCCCGGGAAACCGGGGCUAAUACCGGAUAUGACCUGGUGCCGCAUGGUGUUGGGUGGAAAGUUUUUUCGACCUGGGAUGGGCUCGCGGCCUAUCAGCUUGUUGGUGGGGUGAUGGCCUACCAAGGCGAUGACGGGUAGCCGGCCUGAGAGGGCGACCGGCCACACUGGGACUGAGACACGGCCCAGACUCCUACGGGAGGCAGCAGUGGGGAAUAUUGCACAAUGGGCGGAAGCCUGAUGCAGCGACGCCGUGUGAGGGAUGAAGGCCUUCGGGUUGUAAACCUCUUUCAGCAGGGACGAAGCGUGAGUGACGGUACCUGCAGAAGAAGCGCCGGCCAACUACGUG